rnacentral:pre_miRNA from 1 species
CUGGGCCUGAUUCAAGUAAUCCAGGAUAGGUUUGUUCAGACAAGCACAGCCUGUUCCGGAUGACUUGGUUCAGGAACG